UUAGAGUUUGAUCCUGGCUCAGGAUCCCUUCUAGCGGCAGGCCUAAUACAUGCAAGUCGAACGGUAAAUGCCCUUCGGGGCGUGAGAGUGGCGCACGGCCGCGUAACGCGUAUGCAACCCACCCCCUGCAGCGGGAUAGCCCGGAGAAAUCCGGAUUAACCCCGCAUGAGGAGCGGAGGAGGCAUCUCCUCCGUUUCAAAACUACGGUGGCGGGGGACGGGCAUGCGUCCCAUUAGGUAGUCGGCGGGGUGACGGCCCACCGAGCCCACGAUGGGUAGGGGAUCUGAGAGGACGGUCCCCCACACUGGUACUGAGACACGGACCAGACUCCUACGGGAGGCAGCAGUAAGGGAUAUUGGUCAAUGGGGGGGACCCUGAACCAGCCAUGCCGCGUGAGGGAUGAAGGCCCUACGGGUCGCAGACCUCUUUUGCCGGGGGAUAACGUGCCCUACGAGUGGGGCAGUGAAGGUACCCGGAGAAUAAGCAUCGGCUAACUCCGUGCCAGCAGCCGCGGUAAUACGGAGGAUGCGAGCGUUAUCCGGAUUUAUUGGGUUUAAAGGGUGCGUAGGCGGCCUGGUAAGUCAGCGGUGAAAUCUCCACGCUCAACGUGGAACGUGCCGUUGAUACUGUUGGGCUAGAAUGCGGAUGCCGUGGGAGGAAUGUGUGGUGUAGCGGUGAAAUGCAUAGAUAUCACACAGAACACCGAUUGCGAAGGCAUCUCACGAAUCCGCUAUUGACGCUGAGGCACGAAAGUGUGGGGAUCAAACAGGAUUAGAUACCCUGGUAGUCCACACUGUAAACGAUGAUGACUAACCGUCGGCGAUACACAGUCGGUGGCCAAGCGAAAGCGAUAAGUCAUCCACCUGGGGAGUACGACCGCAAGGUUGAAACUCAAAGGAAUUGACGGGGGCCCGCACAAGCGGAGGAACAUGUGGUUUAAUUCGAUGAUACGCGAGGAACCUUACCCGGGCUCGAACGGCUGGUGAAGAGAGACAGAGAUGUUGACGUCCUUCGGGACACCAGUCGAGGUGCUGCAUGGUUGUCGUCAGCUCGUGCCGUGAGGUGUCGGCUUAAGUGCCAUAACGAGCGCAACCCUUGUCGUCAGUUGCCAUCAGGUUAUGCUGGGGACUCUGGCGAGACUGCCACCGCAAGGUGUGAGGAAGGGGGGGAUGACGUCAAAUCAGCACGGCCCUUACGUCCGGGGCGACACACGCGUUACAAUGGUGGGUACAGAGGGCAGCCAUCCGGCGACGGAGCGCAAAUCUCAAAAACCCAUCCCAGUUCGGAUUGGAGUCUGCAACUCGACUCCAUGAAGUUGGAUUCGCUAGUAAUCGCGCAUCAGCCAUGGCGCGGUGAAUACGUUCCCGGGCCUUGUACACACCGCCCGUCA
rnacentral:rRNA from 1 species